GUAGUCAUGAGUUGACAGAGUACAUCCCAGUUGAGAUCUUUGGAAGACAGGGGCCUCAGCAGUGGAUGCAGCUAGUUGCUCAACAUGUACAUCCCGCCCAAAGCCUGAACCCUCACCAGGCCAGAUCCCAGUUCCUGGGUUUGGUGUGUGCAUUUCUUAUGUUUGGAUCGUCCUUCUUUUACAUCCAAAGCAGCAGCAACAGCACCAUCUCUGCACCAUGCAUCCUCGCUGUCAAUCAGAACGGACUGCACUUCCUGCACAAAGACAGUCACGAGGUGCAGGUGAAGUUCCAGCUGAAGCUGAUUCAGUCAGCUCACACACAGCGGCCCAGCACUGGUUCCAGUUAUAUAUAGACAUCCUAACAGGG